GACGAGCGCUGGCGGCGCGCCUAACACAUGCAAGUCGAACGAGCGAGAGAGAGCUUGCUUUCUCGAGCGAGUGGCGAACGGGUGAGUAACGCGUGAGGAACCUGCCUCAAAGAGGGGGACAACAGUUGGAAACGGCUGCUAAUACCGCAUAACACAUUGAAGCCGCAUGGUUUUGAUGUCAAAGAUUUAUUGCCUUUGGAUGAGCUCGCGUCUGAUUAGCUAGUUGGCGGGGUAACGGCCCACCAAGGCGACGAUCAGUAGCCGGACUGAGAGGUUGAACGGCCACAUUGGGACUGAGACACGGCCCAG
rnacentral:rRNA from 1 species